rnacentral:lncRNA from 1 species
AUGUCUGUGAACUUCUGGCACCUGGGGGUAUUUGUGGCAUAUCUAGUGUUCCCAGGCUUCCUCAAUCUGGGUGCUCCUGUGCUACCAAUUAUGCUGCACACGACAAGGCAAGGGAGUUUCCACCCCUGCCAAGUACCCCUGAGAUUCUUCCCCAGAUCGAUGUGCUCCUGGAUCCCAAAACCAAAGUUUCCAGUAUCGGAGAAGUUAUUUUUUCUUAACUCAUACUCUCGCACCUUUAGACUUUUCUCCAAGAUUUCUUCUGCUUUGGCCCCAGGGACUGUGCAGUGGACAGCAAUCUUUUCAUUUCUCUUGAUACCAAAGGAUCUAACCAUGUACCUAGCUUUGGAGAACACUGGCCCGUGAGCUGCUCCAGCACCUUGGCUGUGCGGGUCAGUCUGUCUCCACUCUCCCCCACACAGAUGUUGAGGCAGAAUUUGCAGAUCCGAAGCUCCCACAUGGGGUUCUCCUUUUCAUCUUGAUCCUGCGCCAUGGUGGAGAACAGGAAGACUAUUAAAUUUUUUUUAAAGAUUUUAUUUAUUUGAUAGAGAGAGAGAACACGAGCAGGGAGGAGGGUAGAGGGAGAGGGAGAAGCAGACCUCCCUGCCCUUGCUGAGCAGGGAACCCAAUGCAGGACUUGAUUCUAGGACCCUGGGAUCAUGACCUGAGCGGAAGGCAGACAUCUGAGCUACCCAGGUGCCUCUGGUUGGUUGUUUUUGAGUCUCUUCUUGUCUGAUAGUCUUGCUCUGCAUUUUAUUUGAUUUCAUUUUAUUUUAUUCUAUUUCCUUUUAAAAAUCUCAGGACUAGUGUUAUAAGGAUUAAAGGAAAAGAAAACUAGUAUUUUUAAUCAACAAAAUCCUUGCUGUUCAUAUUCAUCUUAUGGGUUAUUUCAGAUUGAUGAAUUUGAAGACACUUCCUUACGAUAUAUGGGAGGAAUUCACUUUGUCUCUCAAGUCUCAAAGGGCAGAGUUUCAAAUUCUCCAGAAACUAGCUCCUAACAGUAACUAGGCCCAGUCUGUAUUCCAAGGGAGGGAGAACCCAGGAACAUUUCUCUCCCAGUGGCUCCCAAAUCUGGUUCCCUGCCAUGCUUAGGAGGUGCAGAGCUCUAGGAGUCAUUUCCAGAAAGAUGUAGGGGGAGCAAUACCAGGGGCAGUUGCCACAGAGCCCCUCCCCCCAGUUUCGGAAUCCUCCCUGUGAGACUGUGCAUGUCUCUAUGCCCUCCAGGUCUGCAGAGCCCGUGGGAGCUGAGAGGAGCAUCACUGUCUGUGAGGAAUGAGCACACCAAGGAGAGCACUUCUGAAGGUGGUGAGCACAGAACCCAGAAUGAUGGCAAUACCUCUACCAGACAUACAAAGGUGCUUAUGAUUUAAUUAGGUAAAGACAAUGGAAAGGGCUCUCCAGACAGAGCUAAGUCUAGGAAAUAUCUUUUUGUAAAAAUUUAAUUUAUUUAUUUGAGAGAGAGAGAGAGAGAAAGGAGUGGGGAUCACAAGUGGGAGUAGGGGCAGAGGGAGAAGCGGAUUCCACACUGAGUGCAGAGGCCAUUGCGGGUCUCCAUCCCAGGACCCUGAGAUCAUGACCUGAGCCAAAAUUCUACUCUUAACUGACUGAGCCAUUUAGGCCCCCCCUAAAAUAUUUUUAAUGUGACUUAAAACUUUCUAAUUUUGACUGAUUAGAAAGCCAUCUGAAUUAAUGAAAUUUUAGAAUUAUAGAACAAAUUUUAUUUUACUUAUUUUUAAAAGAUUUUUAAAAUUUCUUUAUUCAUGAGUGACAGAGAGAGGCGGAGACAUAAGCAGAGAGAGAAGAAGGCUCCUUGCGGGGGCUGGAUGUGGGACUCAAUCCUAGAACACUGGGAUCAUGACCUAAACCAUAGACAGACAUUCAACCACUGUGCUACCCAGGUGCCCUACAAAACAAAUUUUAUUUUUAUUUUAUUUAUUUUUAGAUUUUUAUUUAUUUAUUCACGAAAGACACACAGAGAGAGAGAGACAGAGAGAGAGAGAGGCAGAGACACAGGCAGAGGGAGAAGCAGGCUCCAUGCAGGGAGCUUGAUGUGGGACUGGAUCCAAGGGCUCUAGGAUCACACCCUGGGCUGAAGACGGCACUAAACCACUGGGCCACUGGGGCCGCCCAUCCAAAACAGAUUUUAAAACAAAAUAUUUGAUCAUGAACAAGUCCUUAAAUUAACAAAGGGCCUCAAUCAAUACUUACAGAAUUAAUUUAAUAAACAGAUAAAAAAAAUUUAAAUUCACAAUAGGACAGUCCUAUUAUUUCAGAAUUGCUGGCUUGGGUGAUUACACUUGUUGGGAAAUGGUGACAUGGUCAGUUCUUAUCUUCGGGGUGGCUGAAAAAUUAGAGGAGGUCAAGGUUUUGCAAUAGCUAAGAGGGGUUUCUAAAGAGUUCUUAUCAUCUGUAAGGAUUUGGACAGCUGGAAAAUGUUUGACCUGGGGAGGUUCUGUGAUGUGUGUUUGGGGAGGGAAGCUGGAAGCGUAUCAAUUGCUGCAAAGGUCUGGGAAGGAGGCUUUUCAAUCAAAAGGGUCAGAACAGCUGGGAGGGCAAUUCUGGAAUGUUGUAGCAGGUCUGGGGGAAUGGACUUGGUGUUUCUCAUCAAUGGCAGAGUUGCAACAGCUGGGAAGCCCCAGAACUGGGGAUUUUAAAGAGGAAGAGAAACCGAGACUGUAGGAGGAGAAGGGUGCCUGCAGUGUAGCUCAGCCUGCCAUGCACAGCAUCUGUUUACCACAGGAGUAGCAAUUCCGGCCUUUCUUCUCCAGUGAAUUCUCAGUGCCAAGUUACCUGUCAUCCCUCCAAGGGGCCUCCUUGUUGCUCUCAUUUUCCUCCAGGAACUUAUGUCUAUAAACUGCCAUUCACCUCUUUCGCAACAAUCCUGCAGGACCAGUUCAGUCUGUUAAAAAUAUUAAAGCACCCACAAAUAGCACUUGUGGAAGAUGAUGCUCAUAUUAAAAGUAACUAUUAGAGUUGUAACUAAUGUUUAGUAGUUACUUAUGAUACGUGGAAAAGUUUUGUAUAAAUAGGGUGUUUGGCCAAUCAAACCACAUUUAAAUUUUACUAUAAGAGUUUGCUAUUUCAUUCAAAAGGUGUACAAUAUGUGUUAGUACUGUGUGAGGCUAAAGCAAACAGUUCUUUAAAAUGCAAAUAACUGCCAGUCCUAUUGAAUACAAUUUGUAGGUUUGAAUUUUUUUAAUCGUUAUAAUAUUGAAAUAUAACAAAAUAGGGAUCCCUGGGUGGCGCAGCGGUUUGGCGCCUGCCUUUGGCCCAGGGCGUGAUCCUGGAGACCCGGGAUCGAGUCCCACGUCGGGCUCCCGGUGCAUGGAGCCUGCUUCUCCCUCUGCCUGUGUCUCUGCCUCUCCCUCUCUCUGUGUGACUAUCAUAAAUAAAUUAAAAAUAAAUAAAUAAAUAAAAAUGAAAUAUAACAAAAUAUACUAAAGUGAAUAAAACAAAUAUAUGGUGUAAUAAUUAAUUAGCAUAAAAUGAACACCCAUGUAACCACCCCUCAGAACAUUUCUGAACCUCAGAGGUCCCCUAUGGCCCCUCUCCCUCCCAAAUGUAAAAUUAUCCUCAAUUACUCUGACAUCUAAUGCUGUUUAGUUUUUCUCAUUUCUAAACUUUAUAUACAACAAAUCAGAGAGUUUAUACUUUUAUGUAUUUGGCUUCUCAUAACAUUAGUGAGAUUUGUUAGGGUUGUGCUUAUCUGCAGUUCAUUCAUUUUCUUGACUGAAUAGUAUAUAAUUUCCAAAACCAACUCAUCCAUUUUACUGUUCUGACACUUAGAUUGUUUCCAGUUUUGAGCUCUUACAAAAUUGCUGUACACACACAGAAAUGCAUGGUACACACAGAGAGCUAUAAGCUCUGGAAGUCAUUUCCGAGAUGAAGCAUUUAGUAGUUGGCACAUGACCCUCAUAUUCUCUUUCCUGGAAACCGUUUGUCCCAGGUGGCAUAGUUACAAGAUACAAGCAGCCUGGAUCCCUGAGUAACCACUUGGAAGGGAGCUGCCUUGGAGAACCACUAGAUCUGCAGUGGAUUUUGCAUGAC